rnacentral:rRNA from 1 species
CCAUACUUCCAGGAAAAGCCUCUAAGCUUCAGAUUAUACCGAAUCGUACCCCAAACCGACACAGGUGGUCAGGUAGAGAAUACUAAGGCGCUUGAGAGAACUCGGGUGAAGGAACUAGGCAAAAUCGUACCGUAACUUCGGGAGAAGGUACGCUCCUAUCUGUGAUGAGACUUGCUCUCUAAGCGGACGGGAGCCGCAGUGACCAGGUGGCUGGGACUGUUUAUUAAAAACACAGCACUGUGCAAAAUCGCAAGAUGACGUAUACGGUGUGACACCUGCCCGGUGCCGGAAGGUUAAUUGAUGGGGUUAUCUUCGGAGAAGCUCUUGAUCGAAGCCCCGGUAAACGGCGGCCGUAACUAUAACGGUCCUAAGGUAGCGAAAUUCCUUGUCGGGUAAGUUCCGACCUGCACGAAUGGUGUAACCAUGGCCACGCUGUCUCCACCCGAGACUCAGUGAAAUUGAAAUCGCAGUGAAGAUGCUGUGUACCCGCGGCUAGACGGAAAGACCCCGUGAACCUUUACUACAGCUUGGCACUGAACAUUGAACCUACAUGUGUAGGAUAGGUGGGAGACUUUGAAGAUGAGACGCUAGUCUUGUUGGAGUCGUCCUUGAAAUACCACCCUUGUAGUUUUGAUGUUCUAACGUUGGCCCCUGAAUCGGGGUUACGGACAGUGCCUGGUGGGUAGUUUGACUGGGGCGGUCUCCUCCCAAAGAGUAACGGAGGAGCACGAAGGUUGGCUAAGUACGGUCGGACAUCGUACGGUUAGUGUAAUGGUAGAAGCCAGCUUAACUGCGAGACAGACACGUCGAGCAGGUACGAAAGUAGGUCAUAGUGAUCCGGUGGUUCUGAAUGGAAGGGCCAUCGCUCAACGGAUAAAAGGUACUCCGGGGAUAACAGGCUGAUACCGCCCAAGAGUUCAUAUCGACGGCGGUGUUUGGCACCUCGAUGUCGGCUCAUCACAUCCUGGGGCUGAAGUCGGUCCCAAGGGUAUGGCUGUUCGCCAUUUAAAGUGGUACGCGAGCUGGGUUUAGAACGUCGUGAGACAGUUCGGUCCCUAUCUGCCGUGGGCGUUUGAGAAUUGAGAGGGGUUGCUCCUAGUACGAGAGGACCGGAGUGAACGAACCGCUGGUGUUCGGGUUGUCAUGCCAAUGGCAUUGCCCGGUAGCUACGUUCGGAACUGAUAAGCGCUGAAAGCAUCUAAGCGCGAAGCAGGCCUCGAGAUGAGUUCUCACUAGACUUUUAAAGUCUCUGAAGGGCCGUUGAAGACUACAACGUUGAUAGGCAAGAUGUGGAAGUGGUGUGAGCCAUUAAGCUAACUUGUACUAAUUACCCGUGAGGCUUAACCAUACAACGCCAAACGCGUUU